rnacentral:rRNA from 1 species
GAUGAACGCUAGCGGGAGGCCUAACACAUGCAAGCCGAGCGGUAGAGAUUCUUCGGAAUCUUGAGAGCGGCGUACGGGUGCGGAACACGUGUGCAACCUACCUUUAUCUGGAGGAUAGCCUUUCGAAAGGAAGAUUAAUACUCCAUAAUAUAUUGACUGGCAUCAGUUGAUAUUGAAAGCUCCGGCGGAUAAAGAUGGGCACGCGCAAGAUUAGCUAGUUGGUGAGGUAACGGCUCACCAAGGCGAUGAUCUUUAGGGGGCCUGAGAGGGUGAUCCCCCACACUGGUACUGAGACACGGACCAGACUCCUACGGGAGGCAGCAGUGAGGAAUAUUGGUCAAUGGGUGCAAGCCUGAACCAGCCAUCCCGCGUGAAGGACGACGGCCCUAUGGGUUGUAAACUUCUUUUGUAUAGGGAUAAACCUACUCUCGUGAGAGUAGCUGAAGGUACUAUACGAAUAAGCACCGGCUAACUCCGUGCCAGCCGCCGCGGUAAUAC